rnacentral:RNase_P_RNA from 1 species
GAAGCAAGCCAGACCGCCGCUGGUGCGAGCGUCGAAAGACGGCACUGGAGGAAGGUCCGGACUGCACAGAGCAGCGCAGCGGCCAACGGCCGUCCACCGCGAGGUGAGGAUCAGAGCAACAGAGACGAGUCGGCGCCGCGAGGCGCUGGGUGAAACGGGCAAUCUCUGCGCGCAGCAACACCAAGUAGGCCAGCGUUGACGCGGCUCGCGGAGCUGGCGGGUAGGUGGCACCGAGCCGUCCGGCAACGGGCGGCCCAGAUGAAUGGCGGUCACGCCGGUGCCUCGCAAGGGGUGCCGGUGCACAGAAUCCGGCCUAUCGGCUUGCUUCACAC